rnacentral:rRNA from 1 species
CCUACGGGAGGCAGCAGUGAGGAAUAUUGGUCAAUGGUCGGGAGACUGAACCAGCCAAGCCGCGUGAGGGAGGAAGGUACAGAGUAUCGUAAACCUCUUUUGUCAGGGAACAAAGGCGGGGACGUGUCCCCGGACGAGUGUACCUGAAGAAAAAGCAUCGGCAAACUCCGUGCCAGCAGCCGCGGUAAUACGGAGGAUGCGAGCGUUAUCCGGAUUUAUUGGGUUAAAAGGGUGCGCAGGCGCUCGGUUAAGUUAGCGGUAAAAGCCCGGGGCGAAACCCCGGCCCGCCGUUGAAACGGGCAGUCUCGAGUUGGAGAGAAGUAUGCGGAAUGCGCGGUGUAGCGGUGAAAUGCAGAGAUAUCGCGCAGAACUCCGAUUGCGAAGGCAGCAUGCCGGCUCCACACUGACGCUGAGGCACGAAAGCGUGGGUAUCGAACAGGAUUAGAUACCCGAGUAGUC